rnacentral:rRNA from 1 species
UACGGAGGGUGCAAGCGUUAUCCGGAUUUACUGGGUUUAAAGGGUGCGCAGGCGGAUAUGUAAGUCAGUGGUGAAAUCUCCGGGCUUAACCCGGAAACUGCCGUUGAUACUAUAUAUCUUGAAUGCUGUGGAGGUAAGCAGAAUAUGUCAUGUAGCGGUGAAAUGCUUAGAGAUGACAUAGAAUACCUAUUGCGAAGGCAGCUUACUACGCAGAUAUUGGCGCUCAUGCACGAAAGCGUGGGGAUCAAACAGG